rnacentral:rRNA from 1 species
GACGAACGCUGGCGGCGUGCUUAACACAUGCAAGUCGAACGGUGAAGCGCCUUCCUUUUUGGUGGGUGUGGAGGAGUGGCGAACGGGGGAGUAACACGUUAGUAACCUGCCCCCUUCUUCUGGAUAACCGCAUGAAGGUGUGGCUAAUAGAGGAUAUUCUGGAUCUGUCGCAUGAUGGGUCUGGGAAAGAUUUUGUUUCGGUGGGGGAUGGGCUCGCGGCGUAUCAGCUUGUUGGUAGGGUGAUGGCCUACCAAGGCGGCGACGGGUAGCCGGCCUGAGAGGGGGAUGGGCGACACUGGAAGUGCGACGCGGUGCAGACUACUACGGGGGGCAGCAGUAGGGAGUAUUACGGAAUGGUCGGAGGCAGGCUGGUGCAGCGCCGCGGGGGGGAGGAAGGUCUUCGUAUCGUAGUAAUCUUCUAUUGCGGGAGAAGAAGUGUGGAAUUGACUAUGCGCGUCUUGACGGUAGCUGAUCAGAAAGCGACGGCUAACUACGUG